rnacentral:rRNA from 1 species
GGGCAGGGCGGCGUGCUAUACAUGCAAGUCGAGCGAAUGGAUUAAGAGCUUGCUCUUAUGAAGUUAGCGGCGGACGGGUGAGUAACACGUGGGUAACCUGCCCAUAAGACUGGGAUAACUCCGGGAAACCGGGGCUAAUACCGGAUAACAUUUUGAACUGCAUGGUUCGAAAUUGAAAAGGCGGCUUCGGCUGUCACUUAUGGAUGGACCCGCGUCGCAUUAGCUAGUUGGUGAGGUAACGGCUCACCAAGGCAACGAUGCGUAGCCGACCUGAGAGGGUGAUCGGCCACACUGGGACUGAGACACGGCCCAGACUCCUACGGGAGGCAGCAGUAGGGAAUCUUCCGCAAUGGACGAAAGUCUGACGGAGCAACGCCGCGUGAGUGAUGAAGGCUUUCGGGUCGUAAAACUCUGUUGUUAGGGAAGAACAAGUGCUAGUUGAAUAAGCUGGCACCUUGACGGUACCUAACCAGAAAGCCACGGCUAACUACGAGCCAGAACCCGCGGUAA